rnacentral:misc_RNA from 1 species
GCUACUACCGAUUGAAUGGUUUAGUGAGGACUCCUGAUUGGCGCCGCCGCCCCGGCAACGGAGCAGCGGACUGCCGAAAAGUUGUUCAAACUUGAUCAUUUAGAGGAAGUAAAAGUCGUAACAAGGUUUCUGUAGGUGAACCUGCAGAAAUCA